rnacentral:rRNA from 1 species
CAGCAGGCGCGCAAAUUACCCAAUCCUAAUACAGGGAGGUAGUGACAAGAAAUAACAAUACAGGACAUUUUGGUUUUGUAAUUGGAAUGAGUUAAGUAUAAACCCCUUUACAAGUAUCAAUUGGAGGGCAAGUCUGGUGCCAGCAGCCGCGGUAAUUCCAGCUCCAAUAGCGUAUAUUAAAGUUGUUGCAGUUAAAAAGCUCGUAGUUGGAUUUCUGUUAAUAAUUUAUAUAUAAUAUUUGAUUAAUAUUUAUAUAAUAUUAACAUAAUUCAUAUUACUAAAUUUAUUAGUAUAUGAAAUUUUACUUUGAGAAAAUUAGAGUGCUUAAAGCAGGUAUAUGCCUUGAAUACUCCAGCAUGGAUUAAUAUUAAAGAUUUUUAUCUUUCUUAUUGGUUCUAACAUAAAAAUAAUGUUUA